GUCCAAUAAGGUCCAAAUAGUCAAUGUUUAAUAAACAUUUGUAUUAUUGUCCACUAUUUUGUUAUUCAUAAUUUCAUAUCACUAUUAGGGGAUUAUGUUAUUAUUAGAAUUUCAAUUAAAGUACCACAAUGAUCAUAUAGUAUUAUACUUGUAUUAGUGUCUAUUAUUUUAUUAUUUAUUUGUAUUAUGUCUAUUAUUUUAUUAUUUAUUUGUAUUAUGUCUAUUAUUUUAUAAUUUAUUUGUAUUAUGUAUAUUAUUUUAUUAUUCAUAUUACUAUUAGCUGAUUAUGUUAUUAUUAGAAUUUUUUAUUAAAGUACCACAAUGUAUAGUAUUAUACUUGUAUUAUUGUCUAUUAUUUGAUUAUUCAUAUUGCUAUUGAAUAAUAUUAUAAUCAUGGUCAAAUAAUUAAGGUUAACAACAACAAUAAUAAUAAUAAUAAUAAUUAAUUUUUUGAUUUUCUACUAGUGUUUUAUAAAAUUAAAACAACACUAUUAGAUAUAUUAGUGAUGAAAGUUAUGUAUAGGCAAAUAUAUAAAUAGUAAUUUUUUCGUUAAAUUAAUUAUCAUAAGAGAUAAUUAAUAAUCAUUAUUUUUUAAAGGACGAAUUAUAAUAAUAAUUAUUCCAUAAAAAUUUUUGAGGGGUAGUAUUUACAUUAGUGGUAAUAUUUAUGUUAUUCAUGGUCAAUGUUUUUGUCUAAUAAGGUCAAAUAAAUUUCAAUCAGGUCCAAUAAGGUCUAAUAAGUUUCAAUCAGGUCCAAUAAGGUCUAAUAAGUUUCAAUCAGGGUCAAUAAGUUUCAAUAAGGUCUAAUAAGGUCAAUCAGGUCUAAUAAGUUCCAAUCAGGUCCAAUAAGUUGAAUCAGGUCCAAUCAGGUCCAAUCAGGUUUAAUAAGUUCCAAUAAGUUCAGUUCAGGUUCAAUAAGUUCAGUUCAGAUAAGUUCCAAUAAGUUCAGGUCCAAUAAGUUGAAUAAAACGCACCCUAAAAA